rnacentral:misc_RNA from 1 species
UCUCCGUAGGUGAACCUGCGGAGGGAUCAUUAACACUUUUUGAUAUUUCAAAAAACCAAACCUGUGAACUUGAAUAUAACCCUUUACAAUCAGGAGGCAUUCGCCGCUGAAUUAGAAUAGGUUAGUUUUGUGUUUUUUCAUAAAGCUUAGUUCAGUCUGAAUCUUAGUGGUGCUUAAGAGCAUCAGCGUUAUUGGUUGUAAAGGGCCUAAUCAAAAAGAAAUAAAAAAGUUUUGUGCUUGGUUGGUAAGCAUUUUACUAUGUCUACUUCUAACUACAGAGCUUUUCUUCUUUUUGGGUCUAAUCCUAUAGACAAACGUAUUCACCUUUUUUUAUUAUUAAAAACAAUAAUUGUAACACAUACGGUCAACCCUAUGUGGACUAAUUGUGCAAACGUAACUGUGCUAUUGUACUUUUUUGUACAUGUUGCAUCUUUACUUUUGUAUCACUGUUAUAAAAAUUUAUAUACAACUCUUAGCAAUGGAUAUCUUGGUUCUC